rnacentral:rRNA from 1 species
GACGAACGCUGGCGGCGUGCCUAAUACAUGCAAGUCGAACGCUGAAGAGAGGAGCUUGCUCUUCUUGGAUGAGUUGCGAACGGGUGAGUAACGCGUAGGUAACCUGCCUUUUAGCGGGGGAUAACUAUUGGAAACGAUAGCUAAUACCGCAUAACAAUGGAUGACACAUGUCUUUUAUUUGAAAGAGGCAAUUGCUCCACUAUAAGAUGGACCUGCGUUGUAUUAGCUAGUAGGUGAGGUAAUGGCCUACCUAGGCGACGAUACAUAGCCGACCUGAGAGGGUGGACGGCCACACUGGGACUGAGGAACGGCCCAGACUCCUACGGGAGGCAGCAGUAGGGGAUCUUCGGCAAUGGGGGCAACCCCUGCCGAACAACGCCGCGUGAGGGAAGGAGGUUUUCGGAUUGGAAAGCUCGGUUGUAAGUCAAGAACGGGUGUGAGAGUGGAAAGUUCACACUGUGACGGUAGCUAACCAGAAAGGGACGGCUAACUACGUG